CAUAGGUUGAGGAGGCGGUGACCAUGGCGGUGUAGGUGAAAGCGGCGGUGGAUGAUGAGGUAGCCAACACUCUUUUAUUUGUUUGUUUUGUUUUUGUUUUUUUAUUGGGGUAGUCCACAAAAUAUUGGGACAUAUAAAAAAAGAAACAUUUGCGACUUGCGGUGCAUUUCUUGCAGUCCUGAUGCAUGGAGAAAUGCUCCACUCCUGAUGCAUAGAGAAAAGGCCUUCACAAGCCUCUGCUACUUUCUGCAGCAGCUCUGAUAUAUCUGGGUAUACACCGUGGCAUCACAAGGGCCACCCAGAACUGGCUCAAUUCCCAUCAAGCCAAGUUCCUAGAGGAGAUCACCCAGCUCGUCAUGCUAGAGUACUUUUUCAAUUUGCUCCCCAACAAGAAGGUGACAAUGCAUUCGUAUGUCAAUCCAUAUCAACGUUCAAUGCCAUUGACUGCGCCUACCAUGGUGACCACGGGUAAUGGGGAAUCAGUGUUCGAUUCUGUACAGGGACCCUGACAAAUGGCUACCACAUGCAAGGAAGGCAGCAGGCGCGCAAAUGACCCACUCCCGACGCGGGAAGUUAGUGACGUCAAAUAACAAUACAGGACUCUUUAGAGGCCCUGUAAUUGUAAUGAGUCCACUUGGAAUCCUUUAACUCUGAUCAAUUGGAGGGAGUCUGGUGCAGAGACACUGACCGUGCGUGCUGCAGCUGAAACUCCACUAUCGCCUGUUGCUGCUGCUCAAACAGUCUCU